UACGUAGGUUGCGAGCGUUAAUCGGAAUUACUGGGCGUAAAGCGUGCGCAGGCGGUUUUGUAAGCCAGCUUUGAAAUCCCCGGGCUUAACCUGGGAAUGGCAUUUGGGACUGCAAGGCUGGAGUGCGGCAGAGGAGACUGGAAUUCCUGGUGUAGCAGUGAAAUGCGUAGAUAUCAGGAGGAACACCGAUGGCGAAGGCAGGUCUCUGGGCUGACACUGACGCUCAUGCACGAAAGCGUGGGGAGCAAACAGG
rnacentral:rRNA from 1 species